rnacentral:lncRNA from 1 species
CGGCGUUGGAGCUUCUGUUUGCCACUAUAUGUACUAGUGAUCACGUCAUCAGGUGACCAUAUCUCCGUCCAAGUAAGAGUAAUUCCUAAUUAAUUAAUUAAUCCGGUCGACGACAUGCAGGCCCCCAUCGGUGGAUCAGCCGAUCGAUGGGCCGGGAGGCCAUGACGAACUGAUCACCCUCGUUGCUAGCUGGGGUAGGGUGGGAGCUGGUUACGAAGAAAUCACACAGCCCAUCUAAAAGCGACGACGCGACGGCAUCCUCCCAGCUUCCAGCUUCCAGCCUCCAGCCUCCAGCACCAGGGUGUCAGAGCGUGCUCCGAAUCCCCCGCCAAGAAACGCGAGAGCCUCCAUCACAGCUCUGCUGAGGUGUUUGUUUUGUUGAAUGAAACAGACGCACUGCUUGCUGUUGUUGCUGUUGCUGUCGUUGAAAUCGACUAAUUCUGUCCUUGGUUGCACUGUCUCUGAGCCUGCAGGCCUCUCAAUUCUGCCCGUCGAAGCGCCCGCGGCUUUUAUUACUGUGUAUAUAUAUAUAAUACUACGGCAUCUAUCGGUCCCUCAA